GGACAGGUGCUCGAGUGGCUAAAGAGGGCAGACUGUAAAUCUGCUGGCCCAUGGUCUACGAAGGUUCGAAUCCUUCCCUGUCCACCA
rnacentral:tRNA from 1 species